rnacentral:rRNA from 1 species
UACGGAGGGGCUAGCGUUGUUCGGAAUUACUGGGCGUAAAGCGCGCGUAGGCGGAUCUGCAAGUCGGGGGUGAAAUCCCGAGGCUCAACCUCGGAACUGCCUUCGAUACUGCGGGUCUCGAGUCCGGGAGAGGUGAGUGGAAUUCCUAGUGUAGAGGUGAAAAUUCGUAGAUAUUAGGAAGAACACCAGUGGCGAAGGCGGCUCACUGGCCCGGUACU